rnacentral:rRNA from 1 species
GUGGGGAAUCUUGGACAAUGGGCGCAAGCCUGAUCCAGCCAUGCCGCGUGGAUGAUGAAGGCCUUAGGGUUGUAAAAUCCUUUCGUUGGGGACGAUAAUGACGGUACCCAAAGAAGAAGCUCCGGCUAACUUCGUGCCAGCAGCCGCGGUAAUACGAAGGGGGCUAGCGUUGUUCGGAUUUACUGGGCGUAAAGCGCGUGUAGGCGGAUUUGUAAGUUGGGGGUGAAAUCCCGAGGCUCAACCUCGGAACUGCCUCCAAAACUACAAAUCUGGAGCAAGAUAGAGGCAAGUGGAAUUGCGAGUGUAGAGGUGAAAUUCGUAGAUAUUCGCAGGAACACCAGUGGCGAAGGCGACUUGCUGGAUCUUUGCUGACGCUGAGACGCGAAAGCGUGGGGAGCAAACAGGAUUAGAAACCCCAGUAGUCC